AGAGUUUGAUCCUGGCUCAGGACGAACGCUGGCGGCGUGCUUAACACAUGCAAGUCGAACGAGGUCCAUGGAGUAGCAAUACUCCGGAAGACCUAGUGGCGAACGGGUGCGUAACACGUGAGAAACCAACCCCGGUCUCUGGGAUAACAGGUGGAAACGCCUGCUAAUACCGGAUGCCGUCGUUUCCUCGCAUGGGGAGAUGACGAAAGGGCUACUGGAUCGGGACGGUCUCGCGGCCUAUCAGCUUGUUGGAGAGGUAACGGCUCACCAAGGCAUCGACGGGUAGCUGGUCUGAGAGGAUGAUCAGCCACACUGGGACUGAGACACGGCCCAGAUUCCUACGGGAGGCAGCAGUGGGGAAUCUUGCGCAAUGGGCGAAAGCCUGACGCAGCAACGCCGCGUGCGGGAUGAAGGCCCUCGGGUUGUAAACCGCUUUUACCAGGAAGGAAACUGACAGUACCUGGAGAAUAAGGUGCGGCCAACUACGUGCCAGCAGCCGCGGUGACACGUAGGCACCAAGCGUUGUCCGGAUUUAUUGGGCGUAAAGAGCUCGUAGGCGGUUCAGUAAGUCGGGUGUGAAAACUCUGGGCUUAACCCAGAGACGCCACCCGAUACUGCUGUGACUUGAGUCCGGUAGGGGAGUGGGGAAUUCCUGGUGUAGCGGUGAAAUGCGCAGAUAUCAGGAGGAACACCAAUGGCGAAGGCACCACUCUGGGCCGAGACUGACGCUGAGGAGCGAAAGCGUGGGUAGCAAACAGGAUUAGAUACCCUGGUAGUCCACGCCGUAAACGGUGGGCACUAGGUGUGGGUUCCAACCAACGGGAUCCGCGCCGUCGCUAACGCAUUAAGUGCCCCGCCUGGGGAGUACGGCCGCAAGGUUAAAACUCAAAGGAAUUGACGG
rnacentral:rRNA from 1 species